CGGACGGGUGAGUAACGCGUAAGAAUCUGCCUUCAGGUUUGGGACAACCAUUGGAAACGAUGGCUAAUACCGAAUGUGCCUAGAGGUGAAAGGCUUGCUGCCUGAAGAAGAGCUUGCGUCUGAUUAGCUAGUAGGUGAGGUAAGAGCUUACCUAGGCGACGAUCAGUAGCUGGUCUGAGAGGAUGAUCAGCCACACUGGGACUGAGACACGGCCCAGACUCCUACGGGAGGCAGCAGUGGGGAAUUUUCCGCAAUGGGCGAAAGCCUGACGGAGCAAUACCGCGUGAGGGAAGAAGGCUCUUGGGUUGUAAACCUCUUUUCUCAGGGAAUAAAAAAAUGAAGGUACCUGAGGAAUAAGCAUCGGCUAACUCCGUGCCAGCAGCCGCGGUAAUACGGAGGAUGCAAGCGUUAUCCGGAAUGAUUGGGCGUAAAGCGUCCGCAGGUGGUACAACAAGUCUAGUGUCAAAGACCGGGGCUCAACCCCGGAAAGGCGGUAGAAACUGUUGAACUAGAGGGUCGUAGGGGUAGAGGGAAUUCCCAGUGUAGCGGUGAAAUGCGUAGAGAUUGGGAAGAACAUCGGUGGCGAAGGCGCUCUACUGGACGGCAACUGACACUCAGGGACGAAAGCUAGGGGAGCGAAUGGGAUUAGAUACCCCAGCCUGAAUUC
rnacentral:rRNA from 1 species